GACGAACCGUGCGAACGUUAUUCGGAAUCACUGGGCUUAAAGCGCGUGUAGGCGGGAGGGCACGUCCGUCGCUGAAAUCCCCCGGCUCAACCGGGGAACGGGCGCGGAUACGACCUUCCUUGAGGGGCGUAGGGGGACCUGGAACUUCCGGUGGAGCGGUGAAAUGCGUAGAGAUCCGGAGGAACACCGACGGCGUAGGCAGCGCCCUAGACGAGACCUGACGCUCAGGCACGAAAGCGCGGGGAGCGAACAGG
rnacentral:rRNA from 1 species